UGCAUAUCCAAUAAGCUGAGGAAAAGAAACCAACUGGGAUUACCUUAGUAACGGCGAGUGAAGCGGUAAAAGCUCAAAUUUGAAAUCUGGUACUUUCAGUGCCCGAGUUGUAAUUUGUAGAAUUUGUCUUUGAUUAGGUCCUUGUCUAUGUUCCUUGGAACAGGACGUCAUAGAGGGUGAGAAUCCCGUUUGGCGAGGAUACCUUUUCUCUGUAAGACUUUUUCGAAGAGUCGAGUUGUUUGGGAAUGCAGCUCAAAGUGGGUGGUAAAUUCCAUCUAAAGCUAAAUAUUGGCGAGAGACCGAUAGCGAACAAGUACAGUGAUGGAAAGAUGAAAAGAACUUUGAAAAGAGAGUGAAAAAGUACGUGAAAUUGUUGAAAGGGAAGGGCAUUUGAUCAGACAUGGUGUUUUUUGCAUGCACUCGCCUCUCGUGGGCUUGGGCCUCUCAAAAAUUUCACUGGGCCAACAUCAAUUCUGGCAGCAGGAUAAAUCAUUAAGAAUGUAGCUACUUCGGUAGUGUUAUAGCUUUUUGGAAUACUGUUAGCCGGGAUUGAGGACUGCGCUUCGGCAAGGAUGUUGGCAUAAUGGUUAAAUGCCGCCCGUCUUGAACCAACGGGACACAA
rnacentral:rRNA from 1 species